rnacentral:rRNA from 1 species
GUGGAGCAUGUGGUUUAAUUCGAAGCAACGCGAAGAACCUUACCAGGUCUUGACAUCUAGUGCCAACCUAAGAGAUUAGGCGUUCCCUUCGGGGACACUAAGACAGGUGGUGCAUGGCUGUCGUCAGCUCGUGUCGUGAGAUGUUGGGUUAAGUCCCGCAACGAGCGCAACCCUUAUUAUUAGUUGCCAGCAUUAAGUUGGGCACUCUAAUGAGACUGCCGGUGACAAACCGGAGGAAGGUGGGGAUGACGUCAAGUCAUCAUGCCCCUUAUGACCUGGGCUACACACGUGCUACAAUGGGCAGUACAACGAGGAGCGAACUUGUGAAGGCAAGCGAAUCUCUGAAAGCUGUUCUCAGUUCGGACUGUAGGCUGCAACUCGCCUACACGAAGCUGGAAUCGCUAGUAAUCGCGGAUCAGCACGCCGCGGUGAAUACGUUCCCGGGCCUUGUACACACCGCCCGUCACACCAUGAGAGUUUGUAACACCCAAAGCCGGCCGGAUAACCUAGUUUACUAGGAGUCAGCCGUCUAAGGUGGGACAAAUGAU